UUUACAGAUUGCUACAUAUCGAUCAUACGCCAUCGCUGCCAGAAGGCAAUACUCCACUACCCCAAAUGUAGCCGCAGCGCAGAGCUGGGCCACACAUCCUGGACAGAAUGAACUCACUCAGAGCGGUGUGAUUUCUAUUGGCCAUUCGGUGUCCUUCUGCUGCGUGGGAAGAAAAUGAACUCCUCUAUCAACGUUGCAGUGGUCUGAGACUCAGGGAUGUAGCUUUCCUAUUCAAAGCUUAAGAUAGGAAAAUGGAAGAGAAUAAGAUUUUUGAUGAAAUUACAAAUAUUCAUGUUCCAUUCA